AUGCUCAAGCACAGAACUCAAGAGAAUCAUCAAAAGAAUUCUUUCUGGAUGUAUGACCCAUCAGUGUUGAAUCCCAGCACUACUCCAGGGAUUGCCCAGGCCAUUGUCAACUCACAACAAGAUUCUUGGAGAAAUUAUUACCCUAAUCAUCAAAUGAGAAGAGAAAACCAAUGCUGGAAUUUCUUCUUUCAACAACAACAGAACCCAGCUGAGUUUCGAAAUCAUUAUUAUCAUCACCAAGCAACUGUUCCUACCAAUUCCAAUACUUAUUUGAAUCCUAAUUCUUCUGUUCAAUCCAACUAUAGAAUGGACUAGUCACAGAGUCUGUCAUCAUAUAACAACUCAGAAUAGCAAACAAGUAGUACAAAUUACCAAGCUGGACUACCUUAUUACCCUAGGGCCAACUCAAUGACUGGAGCACAUUCAUUCCACCUGGAAUUUUAAUACAAUCAUAAACCCCAGGCAUGGUGCUCAUAUACUUUCUACCUCACUCUCCAGUCUGCUCUAUGUAAAAAUUAAAAUUAGUCAUAACUGUAAAAAUUAAAACAUCGUAUUUUAAAAUAUUUAUUAAUGAUCAUUAGAAAUAAAGGAAUAUAAGGUAACA
rnacentral:lncRNA from 1 species